UCCACGCCCUAAACGAUGCACACUAGUUGUUGGGAUGCUAGUCAUCUCAGUAAUGCAGUUAACACAUUAAGUGUGCCGCCUGGGGAGUACGGUCGCAAGAUUAAAACUCAAAGGAAUAGACGGGGACCCGCACAAGCGGUGGAGCAUGUGGUUUAAUUCGAAAAUACACGAAGAACCUUACCUAGCCUUGAUAUCCUUGGAAUCCUAUAGAGAUAUGGGAGUGCUAGUUACUA
rnacentral:rRNA from 1 species